rfam:Myotis lucifugus cont2.31799, whole genome shotgun sequence.
GGUGGCUCUCGGGAUGUGAUGCAACCCGGAAUCGGGCUCCCUCCUCUCUGGUUCCGGGUGCGUCACCUGAGAACCACA